rnacentral:rRNA from 1 species
AACGAAACGCUGGCGGCAUGCCUAACACAUGCAAGUCGAACGAAGGCUUCGGCCUUAGUGGCGCACGGGUGCGUAACGCGUGGGAAUCUGCCCUUAGGUUCGGAAUAACAGUUAGAAAUGACUGCUAAUACCGGAUGAUGACGUAAGUCCAAAGAUUUAUCGCCUGAGGAUGAGCCCGCGUAGGAUUAGCUAGUUGGUGUGGUAAAGGCGCACCAAGGCGACGAUCCUUAGCUGGUCUGAGAGGAUGAUCAGCCACACUGGGACUGAGACACGGCCCAGACUCCUACGGGAGGCAGCAGUGGGGAAUAUUGGACAAUGGGCGCAAGCCUGAUCCAGCAAUGCCGCGUGAGUGAUGAAGGCCUUAGGGUUGUAAAGCUCUUUUACCCGUGAUGAUAAUGACAGUAGCGGGAGAAUAAGCCCCGGCUAACUCCGUG